AGUCCAUUAGCUCACAAUCCAUAAACCCAACCAAAAACAAAAAUAAAUGAAACUGUAAACGCCAUUGAUGCGUUUCAGAACCUCAAACUGCAAGCUCUCUCUUCAUUUCAGCUUGGUUUUUGCCCAAAAAUCGCUCAUAAACACUCGAAAACUCACCAAAUUUCAUUCUCUUUGUUGUUUGUUGAAGAACACCCAAAUUUCAGCUGGGUUUUUGCCCAAAAAUCGCCCAAAAAACGCUCAAAAACGCUCCAAAUUUCAGAGAAAUUUAAAUCUCUUUGUUGUUUGUCGAAGAACCCCCAAAAUUCAGUUGGAUAAUUGUUUCGAAAAGUUUAACAUGGCCUCGUUUGACUUGGGUAUACUUGGGCUCAACGACAUACCCCUACAGCCACCACAACAGACACAAGCAGCUGACCCUAAUCUAGCGUAUUACAGGAGAUCAAAAAGACGUCAAGACAUUGCAUUCCCUGUAGUUCUGGAAAAAAAAUCUCCAACGAAGAAGAAACCAUCUCCAACAAAGAAAAACCGUCUCCAACGAAGCAAAACCCCUUUGUGAAGGAAUGAAGACUAGUAACAAGAUCGUCUCCAAAAAAAGUAGUUUGAACCGUUUUGUGACAAUUACUUAGUUUGCAUGCUUAUGCGAUGAUUACUUAGUUAUUACCAAAAAGGACAAUUACAUCAAAUUAGUUAUUUUGCUGAAUGUGUAAUCAAGUGUUUCUGUUUUGAUACUCAAGUGUCUGUUAAUCAGUAAGUCAGGUUAUAAUUCCAACUUAUGUUAAUGUGUAAGUUCGUUGUAUUUUAUUAAGUGACUGUUAUAUGUCAACUAGAGACCAUGAUAUGUCAAUUAGUGACUACUAAUAUUAAUCAGUAAGUUGUACUUUAA